UACAGAGGUCUCAAGCGUUGUUCGGAUUCAUUGGGCGUAAAGGGUGCGUAGGUGGCGGGGUAAGGCAGGUGUGAAAUCUCGGAGCUCAACUCCGAAACUGCACUUGAUACUGCCUUGCUCGAGUACUGGAGAGGAGAUUGGAAUUUACGGUGUAGCAGUGAAAUGCGUAGAUAUCGUAAGGAAGACCAGUGGCGAAGGCGAAUCUCUGGACAGUUACUGACACUGAGAGACGAAAGCUAGGGGAGCGAAUGGG
rnacentral:rRNA from 1 species